rnacentral:RNase_P_RNA from 13 species
CUCAGAAAGAGAACAAAACAAAAAGAAAAAAAACGCAAUUCCCCCCAAACAACGGCUCCGAAAUCCGUAACCCAUUUUUCCCCUUUUCUUCUUUCUCUCUCUUUCUGACUUCUCUUUUCU